UGCAGUUUAUCUUAUUCCUGAAACUUAAUUUUUUUUAAUGUUUGGUUUCGGAAAAUAUGCUUGACAAAAGAACGAAAAAACACAUAACAAACAUUAAAGGAAUUUUUGUCUGCGAUGUUGCCACGCCUAUAUUUCUGUUUUUCCUAAGCUGAUUUUGUAGCUAUUAGUGUUUUUAUUAGUUUUGUUUAAUUUGGCUUGUUGCAACUUGUGCUGUUUUGUGUUAGUUUAGGUUAGCACAGUUAAAACGCCAGUACAUCUCUACUAAUAUUAUAAUUUAAGUGGAUUUUUUGUUAUAUUUUGCGUUAUAUAACAGCUGUUAAUAUCGGACCGCAAAAGCCGCUGAUCUCAACAAUUACCGGCAAAUUCCAUUCUGAUGAUAGUUUUAGAAAAUCGUGUGUAAAAAAUUGACAAUGUUUAUGAAUUUAAAAGGGCACGGCAACAACGGUUAUUGAGCGAAAUUUCAACUUUUGUCAGCCGACAACAGCGCUUGCGCCAAUCUACAAAAAAUUUGCUACGCGACAUCUGCUGUCACUUCCGGUGGAAAACGUUUUUUUUUUCCUCAAAGAUUGUGAGUUUAUCGCGUAAAAAUUGUGUUUUUAGUCUUCGGUGUAUCAGUAAAGUAUUCAGGUUCGGUUUAUCAGUCAAGGGCAGUCGGCAAGAAGCCCGAACAGUCCAAAAGUCAAUGACCUGGUCAGUGCCCAAACCCUAAAGUACGGUUGAUCAUUUUUCCCACUGGAUUGAUGUUUGGGGCCAAUUAAUUAACCCAUAAGUGAACCCACUGGAAGGAUUGUUUAAUAUUGCCCAUAGGUUUAAAGGUUUUUGGGGCCUCAACGCCCAAAGCGAAUGCGUGGUUGCCAAACCCCCCACUCCUUCCCGGUGUGCUAUGAGUAAUUCGCUCUGAAGGCGAAGGAAAAUUGUCGAGUGGUUUACAGAAGCCUGCAACAGCGCAGCUCACCACAGAGAUUUUCAAAGUGUCGUGUAAUUUUCGGGCAAAGUGCGGAAUUUGGAAGUGAAAAAUGCAUUUAUUAGUGCCGUUUAAGUGCAGAGUGGCCCGAUGUUGCGGACCCUGCAGGGCAGAAGUGCCGAAGUUUACUUCCAGGCUUGAGACAGGACGGGGAUUUUCGGAUUAGAGUCACUGGAAUCAACAGCAAGCAGCCAGCACGGAUGCCAAAGCUGUUUUCCAAUGGCCAGGCCGGAUAUCAACACGCAGAGAAAGUGGUCCAGCAGUCCAAAAGCCCCUUAACACUCUUCUUCUCCUCCUCCUGCUCAAUUACUCAGUGCACCGCCAAGAGGCUGAGGACCUUCAUACUUCUCAGGAACAUUUCUCAGGUGAGUGCAAACGCUUCUCUUCUCUUCCGCUCCGAGCCUCCCUGA
rnacentral:lncRNA from 1 species